rnacentral:rRNA from 1 species
UACAGAGGUCUCAAGCGUUGUUCGGAUUCAUUGGGCGUAAAGGGUGCGUAGGCGGGCAGGUAAGUCCGUGGUGAAAUCUCUGAGCUUAACUCAGAAACUGCCAUGGAUACUAUUUGUCUUGAAUAUUGUGGAGGUAAGCGGAAUAUGUCAUGUAGCGGUGAAAUGCUUAGAUAUGACAUAGAACACCAAUUGCGAAGGCAGCUUACUACACAGUAAUUGACGCUGAGGCACGAAAGCGUGGGGAUCAAACAGG